rnacentral:rRNA from 1 species
AGUGAACGCUGGCGGUAGGCCUAACACAUGCAAGUCGAACGGCAGCACAGUAAGAGCUUGCUCUUACGGGUGGCGAGUGGCGGACGGGUGAGGAAUACAUCGGAAUCUACUUUUUCGUGGGGGAUAACGUAGGGAAACUUACGCUAAUACCGCAUACGACCUCCGGGUGAAAGCAGGGGAUCUUCGGACCUUGCGCGAUUGAAUGAGCCGAUGUCGGAUUAGCUAGUUGGCGGGGUAAAGGCCCACCAAGGCGACGAUCCGUAGCUGGUCUGAGAGGAUGAUCAGCCACACUGGAACUGAGACACGGUCCAGACUCCUACGGGAGGCAGCAGUGGGGAAUAUUGGACAAUGGGCGCAAGCCUGAUCCAGCCAUACCGCGUGGGUGAAGAAGGCCUUCGGGUUGUAAAGCCCUUUUGUUGGGAAAGAAAAGCAGCAGGUUAAUACCCCGCUGUUCUGACGGUACCCAAAGAAUAAGCACCGGCUAACUUCGU